ensembl:snoRNA
GACCUGUGAUGAAAAUGAUUCUGCCAUAUGAUUAGGAUGAUAUUAUCCUUAACCGUUCCAUUUCUGAGGUA